UUGACAGUCUCACUAGAUAUCCUGGGAGAUGGUAGACGGACCGGGUCCAUAGGGAACCCUACUAGGAACGUUGUCUCAUACCGGAUGGGGUAUGGAGACUUUAAAUAUUUUGGUGCUCAUACCGGACAGGGUAUGGAGACGGCCCUGAAAAUUAAGUUUGUCAAGGGAAUGGUUCACGGGUAGCGGGGACCCCUAUGGAUCCCCACAGAUACUAGUAGACUAAUAAAAAGGGGGCAACUGUUGUUUGAUGAUUGAAAU
rnacentral:lncRNA from 1 species